rnacentral:rRNA from 1 species
AUACGUAGGGGACGAGCGUUGUCCGGAAUUACUGGGCGUAAAGGGCGCGCAGGCGGAUAUUUAAGUCAGCUGUAAAAGGCAUGAGCUCAACUCAUGUAUGCGGUUGAAACUGGGUAUCUAGAGUGCUGGAGAGGUAGGCGGAAUUCCCGGUGUAGCGGUUAAAUGCGUAGAUAUCGGGAAGAACACCAGUGGCGAAGGCGGCUUACUGGCCAGCAACUGACGCUGAGGCGCGAAAGCCAGGGGAGCGAACGGGAUUAGAUACCCCGGUAGUCCUGGCCGUAAACGAUGAAUGCUAGGUGUGGGUGUCGAGAGGCAUCCGUGCCGGAGUUAACGCGAUAAGCAUUCCGCCUGGGGAGUACGAUCGCAAGAUUGAAACUCAAAUGAAUUGACGGGG